AGACAGCAGUAGCCGCGGUAAUACAGAGGGUGCGAGCGUUAAUCGGAUUUACUGGGCGUAAAGCGUGCGUAGGCGGCUUCUUAAGUCGGAUGUGAAAUCCCUGAGCUUAACUUAGGAAUUGCAUUCGAUACUGGGAAGCUAGAGUAUGGGAGAGGAUGGUAGAAUUCCAGGUGUAGCGGUGAAAUGCGUAGAGAUCUGGAGGAAUACCGAUGGCGAAGGCAGCCAUCUGGCCUAAUACUGACGCUGAGGUACGAAAGCAUGGGGAGCAAACAGGAUUAGAUACCCGAGUAGUCCCUGUCUCUUAUAA
rnacentral:rRNA from 1 species